CCUACGGGAGGCAGCAGUGGGGAAUAUUGCACAAUGGGCGCAAGCCUGAUGCAGCCAUGCCGCGUGUAUGAAGAAGGCCUUAGGGUUGUAAAGUACUUUCAGUUGGGAGGAAGGCGUCGAUGCUAAUAUCAUCAACGAUUGACGUUACCAACAGAAGAAGCACCGGCUAACUCCGUGCCAGCAGCCGCGGUAAUACGGAGGGUGCAAGCGUUAAUCGGAAUUACUGGGCGUAAAGCGCACGCAGGCGGUUUAUUAAGUUAGAUGUGAAAUCCCCGGGCUUAACCUGGGAGUUGCAUCUAAGACAGGUCAGCUAGAGUCUUGUAGAGGGGGGUAGAAUUCCAUGUGUAGCGGUGAAAUGCGUAGAGAUGUGGAGGAAUACCGGUGGCGAAGGCGGCCCCCUGGACAAAGACUGACGCUCAGGUGCGAAAGCGUGGGGAGCAAACAGGAUUAGAUACCCGCGUAGUC
rnacentral:rRNA from 1 species